rnacentral:rRNA from 1 species
AAAGAUUAAGCCAUGCAUGUCUAAGUAUAAGCAACUAUACUGUGAAACUGCGAAUGGCUCAUUAAAUCAGUUAUCGUUUAUUUGAUAGUACCUUACUACAUGGAUAACCGUGGUAAUUCUAGAGCUAAUACAUGCUAAAAACCUCGACUUCGGAAGGGGUGUAUUUAUUAGAUAAAAAACCAAUGCCCUUCGGGGCUCCUUGGUGAUUCAUGAUAACUUAACGAAUCGCAUGGCCUUGUGCCGGCGAUGGUUCAUUCAAAUUUCUGCCCUAUCAACUUUCGAUGUUUGGGUCUUGGCCAAACAUGGUGU